rnacentral:rRNA from 1 species
ACGCUAGCGAUAGGCUUAACACAUGCAAGUCGAGGGGCAGCAUGGUCUUAGCUUGCUAAGACUGAUGGCGACCGGCGCACGGGUGCGUAACGCGUAUGCAACUUGCCUCACAGAGGGGGAUAACCCGUCGAAAGACGGACUAAUACCGCGUACACUCCACUUUGGGCAUCCAAAGUAGAGGAAAUGAAAUUCGCUGUGAGAUAGGCAUGCGUCCCAUUAGCUAGUUGGUGAGGUAACGGCUCACCAAGGCGACGAUGGGUAGGGGAACUGAGAGGUUGAACCCCCACACUGGUACUGAGACACGGACCAGACUCCUACGGGAGGCAGCAGUGAGGAAUAUUGGUCAAUGGGCGAGAGCCUGAACCAGCCAAGUCGCGUGAAGGAUGACUGUCUUAUGGAUUGUAAACUUCUUUUAUACGGGAAUAACAAGAGUCACGUGUGACUCCCUGCAUGUACCGUAUGAAUAAGCAUCGGCUAACUCCGUGCCAGCAGCCGCGGUAAUACGGAGGAUGCGAGCGUUAUCCGGAUUUAUUGGGUUUAAAGGGUGCGUAGGCGGCCUGUUAAGUCAGCGGUGAAAUCUAGGAGCUUAACUCCUAAAUUGCCAUUGAUACUGGCGGGCUUGAGUGUAGAUGAGGUAGGCGGAAUGCGUGGUGUAGCGGUGGAAUGCAUAGAUAUCACGCAGAACUCCGAUUGCGAAGGCAGCUUACUAAGGUACAACUGACGCUGAAGCACGAAAGCGUGGGUAUCAAACAGGAUUAGAUACCCUGGUAGUCCACGCAGUAAACGAUGAUAACUGGGCGUAUGCGAUAUACAGUAUGCUCCUAAGCGAAAGCGUUAAGUUAUCCACCUGGGGAGUACGCCGGCAACGGUGAAACUCAAAGGAAUUGACGGGGGCCCGCACAAGCGGA